rnacentral:rRNA from 1 species
GCAGCGAAGCCGCGAGGCGGNGCAAAUCUACCAAAAAAUAGUCUCAGUUCAGAUUGCAGGCUGCAACUCGCCUGCAUGAAGUCGGAAUUGCUAGUAAUCGUAGGUCAGCAUACUACGGUGAAUACGUUCCCGGGCCUUGUACACACCGCCCGUCAAACCAUGAGAGUUGGCAACACCCGAAGUCGGUAGUCUAACCGCAAGGAGGACGCCGCCGAAGGUGGGGUCGAUGAUUAGGGUUAAGUCGUAACAAGGUAAC